UCCUAAUCCCAACUCUACUCCUCAAUACGGCCAACCUCAAACCAUUAGCAAUGUGGUGGUGAAUUCUCAGCCUGCUGUGAUAGGCGUAUCUCCUCUUCGUGCGACCUACAGUGAUUACUUGGGAUUGUCCAUCUUCAAUCUUCUCUGCUGCUGCUGCCCCCUUGGGAUCGUUGCUCUGGUUUAUUCUUGCAAGACCCAAGGCUCCUUGGCACGCGGGGACAUGGCUUCUGCUUCCAGUGAGUCGCGGACGACGUUUAUUUUGAACAUGGUAGCCCUGGGAGUAGGAAUUGCUGUGAACAUCAUUUGGAUAGCGCUCGUUAGUUACUACACAACAAGAGUCUACACUUAUUCCAAUUCAACCUUAAAUGGCUCCACUUCAUACUAUCCUGACUAACGCUAAUCCCUGAAUCCUCAUCCCAAAUAAAUCAUCAUUUUAUAUUAAAUAUAUCAGAUGCUGAAAA